rnacentral:misc_RNA from 1 species
GGCGAUUUUUCGCCAUUAUGAUUGGUGAAUGGCCGGGCGCAUAACUGAUAUAAA